GCUUCUUUAGCUCAGGGGUAGAGCGCUCCACUCGUAUUUAUGCUCCUGGGAUGGAGAAGUCGCUGGUUCAAUUCCAGCAAGAAGCA
rnacentral:tRNA from 1 species